UCACGCACGCUUAGCUGUCAGACUCCAUUUCUAUGCACACAUCAGAGAAGUCACUGUACAGAUCACUUUCCCUUUCCUUUUGACUUCGAAGCUUCAACAGGAAAGAGAGUCCUUCGCGUAGAGCAAGAGUUUCCGCCACGCUAGCUAAUGAGGCUUUAAAAUUCCUCGCGAACCCAGAAAUUAUGAGUCCAUCUUGGUUCCGGAGGACUCCCGUAGCUGCAGCCUCUCGUGUUUCACUGCACCAAGCUGCGUCGAUGUUCAAUUUGAGGUUCUCCUUCGCCGGCGGAGACCAACGAUCUACUAAGGUUUUCACCUUUUGUGGUCCUUCCUUUUUGUUAGUGUUCCACCUCUCAAACACUUUAUAGUCGCUAAUUGCUUCUUCCACUAUGUUCCAUGGGUUCGGUUUGCGCUGCUGGAAUACCAAGGCGUUUCGUGCCUUCCAAAUCAACCAGAUCAUGCCAGCCAAGAUCGCCGACGAGGGAGGGUCUUCCGACGAGGAAAGGGUGUCACACGACGAUAGGAGGAGGAGGUGUUCGGGAGUCUCCGGGACUCAGCGGCAAAUUGGGCAGAGAGGAUCAGGCGCCAUCUUUCUUCUGUACAGAUUUUCUUUUGUCGGUAGAGCAUUUGUGCAUAUGCUCCAUAAGAAAUGAUGAACCUUGGGGUAGACUGGGAUUUGCCAUAUUUUAGUCCAUAAGUUCCUGGGAGGCUAAUAUGAUGACGAUGCCUGAUUCAUCUGUUGUUGCGAAAUUUGGGAGCAUAACCUAUUGUAGCCACUUUUAACCAAAUAGACUCCUUUUUUGUUCCCUGUCCACACCAAAGUGUCCUCCGAGGGGUUUGUGCUUAGUGGGAUUGUCAGUAUUUCUUGCACCACAUCUUCUUCAUAAAUUUCCUUAAUCAAUUGUGAUUUCCAUUCAUGA